GCCUGGAUGAUCUUCAGUGGUCUGAGAUGCAGGCUUCAAACCUGUAGCUAUCUAGUGACAGAGUGGUUCAAUUCCAUUUUUAGGUG